CGUGUAGGCGGGAAGGAAAGUCAGAUGUGAAAUCCCCAGGCUCAACCUGGGAACUGCAUUUGAAACUCCCUUUCUUGAGUACCGGAGAGGAAAGCGGAAUUCCUGGUGUAGAGGUGAAAUUCGUAGAUAUCAGGAGGAACACCAGCGGCGAAGGCGGCUUUCUGGACGGUAACUGACGCUGAGACGCGAAAGCGUGGGGAAGCAAACA
rnacentral:rRNA from 1 species